CCUCCUCGACGGUCUGCGGGCAGAUGAAGUGGAUGUGCGUGUCGACGCCGCCCGCGGUGACGAUCUUCCCGGCGCCCGCGAUGACCUCCGUGCCGGGGCCGAUGAUGAUGGUCACGUUGUCCUGCACGUCGGGGUUGCCGGCCUUGCCGAUGGCGGCGAUCCGGCCGUCCUUGAGGCCGAUGUCCGCCUUGACGAUGCCCCAGUGGUCGAGGAUGAGCGCGUUGACGAUCACCGUGUCGACGACCAACUUGCGGACGUCGUCCUCGGGAUCCCACGUCAUCUGGGACUGGCCCAUCCCGUCGCGGAUG
rnacentral:sRNA from 1 species